rnacentral:misc_RNA from 1 species
GUGAAUCAUCGAAUUUUUGAACGCAAAUUGCGCUUCCUAGCAUCCCGGGAAGUAUGCCUGUUUGAGGGUCAGUAUUAACAAAAAAAUCGGUUUGGUUUCAAAUUAUGACGUUUCCGGCGAUUGGGCAAUCUUAACUUUGUUGGUUAAGGGGCUUAAAAUUUACCUUUUUUACUCAUUUUUAGACGUACAUAAAUUUUUUUUUUAUUCCUCUAUUAUUUAUGCCAAUAUC